rnacentral:rRNA from 1 species
CGAACGGUAACAGGAAGCAGCUUGCUGCUUCGCUGACGAGUGGCGGACGGGUGAGUAAUGUCUGGGAAGCUGCCUGAUGGAGGGGGAUAACUACUGGAGACGGUAGCUAAUACCGCAUAAUGUCGCAAGACCAAAGAGGGGGACCUUCGGGCCUCUUGCCAUCGGAUGUGCCCAGAUGGGAUUAGCUUGUUGGUGGGGUAACGGCUCACCAAGGCGACGAUCCCUAGCUGGUCUGAGAGGAUGACCAGCCACACUGGAACUGAGACACGGUCCAGACUCCUACGGGAGGCAGCAGUGGGGAAUAUUGCACAAUGGGCGCAAGCCUGAUGCAGCCAUGCCGCGUGUAUGAAGAAGGCCUUCGGGUUGUAAAGUACUUUCAGCGGGGAGGAAGGGAGUAAAGUUAAUACCUUUGCUCAUUGACGUUACCCGCAGAAGAAGCACCGGCUAACUCCGUGCCAGCAGCCGCGGUAAUACGGAGGGUGCAAGCGUUAAUCGGAAUUACUGGGCGUAAAGCGCACGCAGGCGGUUUGUUAAGUCAGAUGUGAAAUCCCCGGGCUCAACCUGGGAACUGCAUCUGAUACUGGCAAGCUUGAGUCUCGUAGAGGGGGGUAGAAUUCCAGGUGUAGCGGUGAAAUGCGUAGAGAUCUGGAGGAAUACCGGUGGCGAAGGCGGCCCCCUGGACGAAGACUGACGCUCAGGUGCGAAAGCGUGGGGAGCAAACAGGAUUAGAUACCCUGGUAGUCCACGCCGUAAACGAUGUCGACUUGGAGGUUGUGCCCUUGAGGCGUGGCUUCCGGAGCUAACGCGUUAAGUCGACCGCCUGGGGAGUACGGCCGCAAGGUUAAAACUCAAAUGAAUUGACGGGGGCCCGCACAAGCGGUGGAGCAUGUGGUUUAAUUCGAUGCAACGCGAAGAACCUUACCUGGUCUUGACAUCCACGGAAGUUUUCAGAGAUGAGAAUGUGCCUUCGGGAACCGUGAGACAGGUGCUGCAUGGCUGUCGUCAGCUCGUGUUGUGAAAUGUUGGGUUAAGUCCCGCAACGAGCGCAACCCUUAUCCUUUGUUGCCAGCGGUCCGGCCGGGAACUCAAAGGAGACUGCCAGUGAUAAACUGGAGGAAGGUGGGGAUGACGUCAAGUCAUCAUGGCCCUUACGACCAGGGCUACACACGUGCUACAAUGGCGCAUACAAAGAGAAGCGACCUCGCGAGAGCAAGCGGACCUCAUAAAGUGCGUCGUAGUCCGGAUUGGAGUCUGCAACUCGACUCCAUGAAGUCGGAAUCGCUAGUAAUCGUGGAUCUGAAUGCCACGGUGAAUACGUUCCCGGGCCUUGUACACACCGCCCGUCACACCAUGGGAGUGGGUUGCAAAAGAAGUAGGUAGCUUAACCUUCGGGAGGGCGCUUACCACUUUGUGAUUCAUGACUGGGGUGAAGUCGUAACAAGGUAACCGUAGGGGAACCUGCGGUUG